GCCCGCCAUGGAGGGCCGGGCCUCCUCCUGCCCCUCCGCCCUCACCGCCACCCCCGGGGCCGCUUCGUCCGCCCCGUUUUGGGGGAAAUACGGCCCCAGAGGGCCUGGUUUCCACUGCGGGAUCCCCACAUCAUCGCCGGGUGCUUUAUUUAGGGGAAACAAAGCAGCUCCAAUGGAAGGGCGGGGGGUCCCCACGGCUCGGGGCUCUGCGGCCUCCCAGCCCUCCCCGAGGCCCACAGUGGGCCUUCCCCAACAACCCCCCCACACACACACCCCACAACAGCCCCCACCCAUCCGGGCCGCAUCCAUCCCAUAAUGUCCACGUUGUGUUGGGUCACUCCUGGGGCUGAAGACCCAUUUUGGGGGAGAUGUGCCCCAAAAUGAACCGCUGGGGGGGGGCGGGUCCGGUGUGCAAGCAGGUGAUGCCAGCCUCAUUCUUAAGGGCUUCUCCUCAUCAUUAAGGGCUUCUCCUCAUCAUUAAGGGUUUUCUCCUCGCUUUUAAGGGUUUCUCCUCACUUUCAACGUCUCUCAUGCUGUGUCCCACCACGGCCAUCCUGGGAUCCCUGUGUUCUAAAUGGUGUUCUCGAAGAUCUGCAUGGAGCUCAUGAUGUCCACAUCCUGCCAGGGGGACACGGACACGUCACAGAUGGAUUUCAUGAUCUCCAGCAUCUCCUGGGGGCAGACAGAGCUGCGCUGACAAAGAGAACCCCCCCGAAACCCCCACUUUUGACCCAAGGGUGUCCCCUCCCCCCUCCGGACGUCCCCCAGGGCACCUCCUUGGUGAUGCAGCCGUCCUUAUUGAUGUCGUAGAGGUUGAAAGCCCACUUCAGCUUCUCCUGCGCUGUGCCCCGCAGCAGGACGGACAGCCCGAUGACAAAGUCCUGCCAGGGGGGGGUGGGAGGGGAGGGGGUGGAUGGGACAGUGAUGGUGAGCAGCCCGUUUUACAAGGAGCUGCCGUGACCCCACAGAGCACUGCAGCGUGGCUAUUGACCACGGGCACUUCUCCUAUCGAUCCCGUUUCUAUUCUGGCUCCCAUCUAUUUUUAAUGGCCCAGGACGCACUGCCCGGCCGUGCCGCAGCAUCCCGCAGCCCUGGGCCUGCAGCAGCACUUUGGGGUGCAUUCAGACUGCCGGGGUUCGGGGUGGUUUUGGGGCGCUGCUCCAAAAUCCACGCACAACCCCUUCCUGAGCAUCCACCCCCCUGUGCCAGCAGUGAUAUCUGAUGACUCACAGUGCUGGCGUAGGGCCGAGCACCCCCACCCCCCCGGUGCCACCCCCCAGCAGUGCUCACCUCGAAGCACAGUGCCCCACUGCCGUCCGCAUCGAAGGCGUUGAACAAGAAGUGAGCGUAGGCACUGGAAUCUGGGGAGGGGAGGUGGAUGGGGGGGGAGUUAGGGAGCACCCCAUGGGGUCGGUGUGUUUCUGGGGGGGGGGUUGGGGUGGGUGAUGCUUUCUGGAGGGGUGAUGUACCCCCAACUCACCUCCCUGCGGGAAGAACUGCGCGUAGAUGAGCGUGAAGGUCUCCUCGUCCACGUGGCCGCUGGGACAGUCCUGGGGGGAGGACAGAGCGAUGGCCACGGGAAGCCCCGGAGUGGGGGUGUCCCCAAAAGCAGGGAGGGGGUCCCAACCCACUGCGCUCACGUUCUUGAAGCCGCGGUAGAGGGACUGCAGCUCCUUCUUGGUGAACUUGGUGUGUGCCUGCAGCUGCUCCAGCGCCUCGGGUUGGUGCCGCGCAGCCGAGAGCUCCACGUCGGCAUCGCAGCUGUCUGCUGGGGGUGACGGCGUGUCACCUUUUUGGGGGGGGCAGAGGGGCACAGGCUGGGGAGGUCGGGACCACCGGGGUGGGGCUGUCCCUCCAGGAGCACUGUGGGAGCCUCAUCCCGGAUCUGGCAGCGCUCGGAAGCACAACGGGAAUCCCCGAAGCCGGCGGCUUUCCCUGUCGCGAUGCGGAGCUCCCCCGGUGGUUGCAGCCGCUGCGAACUCCGGGUUUCGCAACCCGAGCGAGGGAGGAAACAGCUCCUUUUGCACUUGGGGGGGUUCUCGGGAGCUGCUGGGCUGUGCCUGCUCCAGCAACACGAUCCUGGAGCAUCCCAAAGCAUCCCCAAGCACCCCAGAACAUCCCAAAGCAUCUCCAGGCGCCCUGAAACGUUCUGGAGAUUCCCUGAGCAUCCCAAAGCAUCCUCGGGCAUCCCACAGCCUCCUGGAGCAUCCCCGAGCAUAUUUCAGCAUCCUGGAGCAUCUCAGAGCGUCCUGCAGCAUCCCCAAGCAUGUCAGAGCACCCCCGAGCACCCCCAGGCACCGUGAAACAUUCUGGAGCUUCCCUUGGCAUCCCAAAGCAUCCCUGAGCAUCCCAAAGCAUCCUUGAGCGUCCUGCAGCAUUCUGGAGCAUCCCAAAGCAUCCCUGAGCAUCUUAAGAGCAUCCCCAACCAUACUGCAGCAUCCUGGACCGCCCUGGAACAUCCCAAAGCAUCCUGGAGCAUCCCAAAACAUUCCUGAGCAUCUUAGAGCACCGCCAAGCGUCCUGCAUCGUCCUGGGGCAUGCCAGAGUAUCCCAAAGCAUCCCUGACCAUUCCAAAGCAACCCUGAGCAUCUUAGAGCAUCCCCAACCAUACUGCAGCAUCCCGGAGCAUCUCAAAGCAUCGUGCAGCAUCUCUGAGCAUCCCAAAGCAUCCCUAAGCAUCCUUAAGCAUCUUAAAACAUCCCCAAGUGUCCUGCAGCAUCCUGGAGCAUCCCUGAGCAUCCCCAUGCUUCCCCACGUAACCCUGAGCAUCCCGGAGCAUCCCAGAGCAUCCUGGAGCAUCUCAGAUUGACCCCAAGCAUCCUGCAGCUUCCCAGAGCAUCCCCAAGAGCAUCUCGGAGCAUCCCGGCGCAUCCCGGAUCGUUCUGUAGGAUCUUGGAGAAUCUCAGAGCAUCCCAAAGCAUCCCGGAGCGUCCCCAAGAAUCUCCAGUCAUCCCCGAGCACAUCCCAAAGCAUUCUGGAACAUCGUAGAGCAUCCCCAGCAGCCCCUGCCCAGAUCCCCACCCGCAUCGCAUCCUGCAGCCGCCCCCGCCCCGGCCAUCCGCGCUGCCGGAAGGUAAUUAAUAAAUGAUGCCCAUUAAUGUU